rnacentral:rRNA from 1 species
CCUACGGGAGGCAGCAGUGAGGAAUAUUGGUCAAUGGGCGCAAGCCUGACCCAGCAACGCAGCGUGCAGGAAGAAGGCUUUCGGGUUUUAAACUUCUUUUCUCAGGGACGAAGCGCGUCACGGUACCUGAGGAAUAAGCCACGGCUAACUACGUGCCCGCAGCCGCGGUAAGACGUAGGUGGCAGGCGUUAGCCGGAUUUACUGGUUGUAAAGGGCGUGUGGGCGGGAAAGCAAGUCAGAUGUGAAAACCAUGGGCUUAACCUGUGGCCUGGUUUUGAAACUGUUUUUCUUGAGUACGGGAGAGGCAGACGGAAUUCCUAGUGUAGCGGUGAAAUGCGUAGAUAUUAGGAGGAACACCAGUGGCGAAGGCGGUCUGCUGGACAGCAACUGACGUUGAGGCGCGAAAGCGUGGGGAGCAAACAGGAUUAGAUACCCCAGUAGUC